CUUCCAAGAUCACCAGCUGUGGUAGGAACACUGUGAACUUCAUGAGUUAAUAUGUGUAGAAAUGAACAAAGAAAAUGUGGGCUUCUAAUGGACCAAUGAUGAUGACUGGGGGCAUAAGAUGUGUCUGGAACCUAAAGAACAAGACUCCCUUGAGCUGAUUUGGCAUCUUCCAUGGUCACGAGCUCCAUGGUUGCCUCUGUAUAAUAGGAGGACAGAUUAAUAAUAGAAGCUCCUGAGCUGACCAAGUAUUUUCCAUGGUCACGGCCUAGUUGCAUCUGCCUUGAGAGGGUAAAGAGCAAUCUGUGCUCCAUAGUUCUCAGGACGGACGUGCUCAAGCUGACUGAGCAUUGUUCCAUGGGGGUGAGCUCUGGGAUUGUAUCUCUGUGUCGGGAGCAGAGGCCAAUAAUCAUGGCAUUUGGUUAAUUCAAGCAUGACCAGGAGCUCUGUGGUUACAUCUAUGCAUUAUGAACAUGGAGAGCCAUUCCUUGUCAGAAUGGAUGCACUCGAGUUGGUGGACGCAUCUCCCAUGGUCACGAGCCCUGUGGUUGUGACUAUAUAAUAGGAGGACAGAGAUUAAUCCCGUAGACAUGAAUGAAGACCAAGAGGGAACUGCUGGCUCAGUGAUGACCGCUGGCGGCAUGUGAAUCGGACAUGACGCAUGACUCUGAGGUCCAAGAUGAAAGAGUUCUAGGUCACAACCUCUCUUUGAAUUCACCCUGUAAACUGAUGUCAGGAAUGUACAAAGAGAAUUGAUAUUAUAAUUUGGAAUGGACAAAAAAAUGUACCAGG